rnacentral:rRNA from 1 species
CGUGCCAGCAGCCGCGGUAAUACGGAGGGUGCGAGCGUUAAUCGGAAUAACUGGGCGUAAAGGGCACGCAGGCGGUGACUUAAGUGAGGUGUGAAAGCCCCGGGCUUAACCUGGGAAUUGCAUUUCAUACUGGGUCGCUAGAGUACUUUAGGGAGGGGUAGAAUUCCACGUGUAGCGGUGAAAUGCGUAGAGAUGUGGAGGAAUACCGAAGGCGAAGGCAGCCCCUUGGGAAUGUACUGACGCUCAUGUGCGAAAGCGUGGGGAGCAAACAGGAUUAGAUACCCUGGUAGUCCACGCUGUAAACGAUGGGUACUAGGUGUAGGAGGUAUCGACCCCUUCUGUGCCGGAGUUAACGCAAUAAGUACCCCGCCUGGGGAGUACGACCGCAAGGUUGAAACUCAAAGGAAUUGACGGGGGCCCGCACAAGCGGUGGAGUAUGUGGUUUAAUUCGACGCAACGCGAAGAACCUUACCAGGUCUUGACAU